rnacentral:rRNA from 1 species
GAUGAACGCUGACAGAAUGCUUAACACAUGCAAGUCGACUCGAGUCUUUGGACUUGGGUGGCGGACGGGUGAGUAACGCGUAAAGAACUUGCCUCAUAGUCUGGGACAACAUUUGGAAACGGAUGCUAAUACCGGAUAUUAUGCUUUCUUCGCAUGGAGGAAGUAUGAAAGCUAUAUGCGCUAUGAGAGAGCUUUGCGUCCCAUUAGCUAGUUGGUGAGGUAACGGCCCACCAAGGCGAUGAUGGGUAGCCGGCCUGAGAGGGUGAACGGCCACAAGGGGACUGAGACACGGCCCUUACUCCUACGGGAGGCAGCAGUGGGGAAUAUUGGACAAUGGACCAAAAGUCUGAUCCAGCAAUUCUGUGUGCACGAUGACGUUUUUCGGAAUGUAAAGUGCUUUCAGUCGGGAAGAAGCAAGUGACGGUACCGACAGAAGAAGCGACGGCUAAAUACGUGCCAGCAGCCGCGGUAAUACGUAUGUCGCAAGCGUUAUCCGGAUUUAUUGGGCGUAAAGCGCGUCUAGGCGGCAAGGAAGGUCUGAUGUGAAAAUGCGGGGCUCAACUCCGUAUUGCGUUGGAAACUGCCUUACUAGAGUACUGGAGAGGUAGGCGGAACUACAAGUGUAGAGGUGAAAUUCGUAGAUAUUUGUAGGAAUGCCGAUGGGGAAGCCAGCCUACUGGACAGAUACUGACGCUAAAGCGCGAAAGCGUGGGUAGCAAACAGG